rnacentral:rRNA from 1 species
GUUGAACGCUGGCGGAAUGCUUUACACAUGCAAGUCGAACGGCAGCACGGACUUCGGUCUGGUGGCGAGUGGUGAACGGGUGAGUAAUAUAUCGGAACGUAUCCAAUAAUGGGGGAUAACUAAUCGAAAGGUUGGCUAAUAUCGCAUACGUCCUACGGGAGAAAGCUAGGGACCUUCGGGCCUGGCGUUAAUGGAGCGGCCGAUAUCGGAUUAGCUAGUUGGUGAGGUAAAGGCUCACCAAGGCGACGAUCCGUAGCUGGUCUGAGAGGACGACCAGCCACACUGGAACUGAGACACGGUCCAGACUCCUACGGGAGGCAGCAGUGGGGAAUUUUGGACAAUGGGCGAAAGCCUGAUCCAGCCAUUCCGCGUGAGUGAAGAAGGCCUUCGGGUUGUAAAGCUCUUUCGCAAGAGAAGAAAACUUACCCUCUAACAUAGGGUGAGGUUGACGGUAUCUUGAUAAGAAGCACCGGCUAACUACGUGCCAGCAGCCGCCGUAA